AAUACACUGUUGAUAAAAUGUUCUGUGUGGUUGUUAGCUCAUUGCUACGCGGUUGCUAAGGUGUUCAGAGUGGUUGUUAGCUCAUUGCUACGCGGUUGCUAAGGUGUUCAGAGUGGUUGUUAGCUCAUUGCUACGCGGUUGCUAAGGUGUUCAGAGUGGUUGUUAGCUCAUUGCUACGCGGUUGCUAAGGUGUUCAGAGUGGUUGUUAGCUCAUUGCUACGCGGUUGCUAAGGUGUUCAGAGUGGUUGUUAGCUCAUUGCUACGCGGUUGCUAAGGUGUUCAGAGUGGUUGUUAGCUCAUUGCUACGCGGUUGCUAAGGUGUUCAGAGUGGUUGUUAG